UCUACACGCGAAGUGUUCACUGAGGUGAGGAGGGAGGAACAUUGUCGAAAAGUGAUGAUGAAGACGAAGAAUAUCGACGACGUGGAGAUGGUCCACUGGAAUUAGAGCUUCUGGGCAUGAUACUGGGUCUUCAACAAAUGGGCUAAAGUCAUCUUAUGGGCCAUGUACUAUUGGACCAGACUUUAAUAAUGUCGGGCCUUUUGCUGGAUUGGGCAAAUGAGCUGUUGGGUCUUCUAAAUUCGAACUGAAUGGAUUUGCCUGGAUUUACAAAUUCAUCAAAAGGAGCUAUACACGUGAUGGGCCAAAAACACCAAAAUGGACGGCUGUGAUGUGAACACUGUCGAAAAUCGGGACACAAAGAAGAUACUUGUUGGGACAUACAUGGGAAGCCCACAAAUUGGAAAUUGAGACCAAAUGUUAAAACCGUGGCUACCAAGUCUUGGCCGAUCAAAUAGGAAACUCCAAAGAAACAAAAAGUGGAGCAUUCAGCAGCAAGCAAUCAGAACAACUCUACCAGAUAUUUUCAAGCCUUCAAACUCCAAGUCAUCCUUCCACGCACAGUCCUUCGAGUUCAUUAGCC
rnacentral:lncRNA from 1 species